GGUUGCUGUAUUCUGGAAAAAAGGAUAAAAAGUUGGCUAUCUUUUGUACACUCACAGUUUUAAGAUUGCCUGUUUCUGAGACUAUAAACAUUUGGAUAUAUGUAGCUUUUUUCCUGUUAGGUGCUGUAAUCAUGCAUAUUGAUGUUGAAAGGACGCUGAAAAUCACAAUCUUUCAAGAAUAAGAAGAAAAUAAAAAUUGAUUCUUGAGCUCCCAAAUAGAGAGAGAGAGAGAUUGAGUUUUGUGGGUGUAGUUUGCUAUGCUGAUUAGAUUGAUUCUCAGUGUAAUUUUUUG
rnacentral:misc_RNA from 1 species